AGAGUUUGAUCCUGGCUCAGAAUGAACGCUGGCGGCAUGGAUUAGGCAUGCAAGUCGAACGCGCCGAGGGCAACUUUGGCGAGUGGCGAAAGGGUGAGGAACGCGUGAGAAACCUACCUCUGAAACCGGAAUAGCCCCGGGAAACUGGGAGUAAUGCCGGAUGUGGUUACGGGUCGCAUGGCCCGUGUACUGAAGGCGCAAGCCGUUCGGGGAUGGUCUCGCGUCCGAUUAGCUUGUUGGCGGGGUCACGGCCCACCAAGGCGAAGAUCGGUAGCUGGUCUGAGAGGAUGGUCAGCCACACUGGGACUGAGACACUGCCCAGACUCCUACGGGAGGCUGCAGUCGAGAAUCUUCCGCAAUGGGCGAAAGCCUGACGGAGCGAUGCCGCGUGAGGGAUGAAGGCCUUCGGGUUGUAAACCUCUGUCGCCCGGGACGAAAACAAUGACGGUACCGGGAGAGGAAGCUACGGCUAACUACGUGCCAGCAGCCGCGGUAAUACGUAGGUAGCGAGCGUUAUUCGGAUUCACUGGGCGUAAAGGGUCCGCAGGAGGCCUGUCAAGCCAGACGUGAAAGCCCAAGGCUCAACCUUGGAAUGGCGUCUGGGACUGCCGGGCUUGAGUGCACGAGGGGAAAGCAGAAUUCCUGGUGUAGCGGUGGAAUGCGUAGAUAUCAGGAGGAAUACCGAUGGCGAAGGCGGCUUUCUGGCGUGCAACUGACUCUCAGGGACGAAAGUGUGGGGAGCAAACAGGAUUAGAUACCCUGGUAGUCCACACUGUAAACGGUGCGCACUCGAUGCGGGGGUGACUCCGGUCAUCUCCGUGUCUGAGCUAACGCGUUAAGUGCGCCGCCUGGGGACUACGGCCGCAAGGCUAAAACUCAAAGGAAUUGACGGGGGCCCGCACAAGCGGUGGAGCAUGUGGCUUAAUUCGAGGCAACGCGAAGAACCUUACCCGGGUUUGACAUCCAUUGGACCGCUGAUGAAAGUCAGCUUUCCGCAAGGACUGAUGGACAGGUGCUGCAUGGCUGUCGUCAGCUCGUGUCGUGAGAUGUUCGGUUAAGUCCGGCAACGAGCGCAACCCAUACCGUCUGUUGCUACCAGGUAAAGCUGGGCACUCUGGCGGGACUGCCCGUGUCAAGCGGGAGGAAGGUGUGGAUGACGUCAAGUCCGUAUGGCCCUUACAUCCGGGGCUGCACACGUGCUACAAUGGACGGCACAGUGGGACGCGAAGCCGCGAGGCAGAGCAAAUCCCCAAAACCGUCCCCAGUUCAGAUUGAAGUCUGCAACCCGACUUCAUGAAGCCGGAAUCGCUAGUAAAGGCGUAUCAGCUACGACGCCUUGAAUACGUUCCCGGGCCUUGUACACACCGCCCGUCACAUCAUGGGAGCCGGCUGCACACGACAUCUCCGAUCCAACCGCAAGGGGGUAGGAGCCUAAGGUGUGUCCGGUGACUGGGAUGAAGUCGUAACAAGGUA
rnacentral:rRNA from 1 species